rnacentral:misc_RNA from 1 species
UGUAGGAGCCGGCUUGCUGGCGAUGGCAUCACCGCGGUCUGUCUGAACAACCGAGGAGAUGCCAUCGCCAGCAAGCCGGCUCCUACA